rnacentral:lncRNA from 1 species
GAAAAUGAAGGUUUUCACUGUGAUGGCUAAAACUGUAAUGUGUAAACUAAACCGGGAUUAGCCUGAACCGGAAAUUGGAAGACUCGGUUUGUAUGAUUAACCAAACGCAAUGGACACUGUCGUUUCAGGAUUAUGAAGAAAUUGUUUUUUUUUUUUUAAAUUAGUUUGUUUGAGUUUAGAUGUUGAAAAUAGGAAUGAGAAAGAUUUCAGUUUUAUUGGCAAUAAAUUUUUUAGAUAGAAAAUUAGUAGUUUUGAUUUUUUGAAUCUUGAUAAUAAAAAAAC